ACGACCAAAUCACGUUGAAACAUCGGUGGUUCGUACGAUCACCGAAGUUAAGCAACGUCGAGCCUGGUCAGUACCUAGAUGGGUGACCGCUUGGGGAAUACCAGGUACUGUA
rnacentral:rRNA from 1 species